CUGACGCAGCACCCCCGCGUGAAGGAAGAAGGUUUUCGGAUCGUAAACUUUCUUUGAUUGGGGACGAAGUAAGUGACGGUACCCAAGGAACAAGCCACGGCUAACUACGUGCCAGCAGCCGCGGUAAUACGUAGGUGGCGAGCGUUGUCCGGAAUUACUGGGUGUAAAGGGCGUGCAGGCGGGGAUAUAAGUCAGGUGUGAAAUACCACGGCUCAACUGUGGGGGUGCAUCUGAAACUAUAUUUCUUGAGUACUGGAGAGGGAAGCGGAAUUCCUAGUGUAGCGGUGAAAUGCGUAGA
rnacentral:rRNA from 1 species